rnacentral:rRNA from 1 species
CCUACGGGUGGCAGCAGUGAGGAAUAUUGGUCAAUGGACGGAAGUCUGAACCAGCCAUGCCGCGUGCAGGAAGAAGGCUCUAUGAGUUGUAGACCGCUUUUGCACAAGGGCAAAACUGAAUACGUGUAUUCAGCUGAGAGUACUGUACGAAUAAGGAUCGGCUAACUCCGUGCCAGCAGCCGCGGUAAUACGGAGGAUCCAAGCGUUAUCCGGAUUUAUUGGGUUUAAAGGGUGCGUAGGCGGACCGAUAAGUUAGAGGUGAAAUGUCCGGGCUUAACUCGGGAACUGCCUCUAAUACUGGUGAUCUAGAGAGUGGAUGCGGUAGGCGGAAUGUAUGGUGUAGCGGUGAAAUGCAUAGAGAUCGUACAGAACACCGAUUGCGAAGGCAGCUUGCCAAGCUAUAUCUGACGUUGAGGCACGAAAGCGUGGGGAGCGAACAGGAUUAGAUACCCCGGUAGUC